rnacentral:rRNA from 1 species
UACGUAGGGGGCAAGCGUUGUCCGGAAUCAUUGGGCGUAAAGAGCGUGUAGGCGGCUCGGUAAGUCCGCUGUGAAAGUCCAGGGCUCAACCCUGGAAUGCCGGUGGAAACUGUCGAGCUAGAGUCCGGAAGAGGCGAGUGGAAUUCCUGGUGUAGCGGUGAAAUGCGUAGAUAUCGGAAGGAACACCUGUGGCGAAAGCGGCUCACUGGACCAUUACUGACGCUGAGGCACGAAAGUUAGGGGAGCAAACAGG